GCCUGGGUGACUCAGUUGGUUAGAGUGUUGUCCUGUACACCAAAGGUUGUGGGUUUGAUUCCCAGUCAAGGCG
rnacentral:tRNA from 1 species